rnacentral:rRNA from 1 species
GACGAACGCUGGCGGCGUGCUUAACACAUGCAAGUCGAGCGGAACGGCCCUUCGGGGUACUCGAGCGGCGAACGGGUGAGUAAAACGUGAGUAACCUGCCCCAGACUCUGGGCUAACCCUCGGCAAAGGGGGCUAAUACCGGAUACGACACAGCUUCGCAUGGGGUCUGUGUGGCAAGUUUUUCGGAUUGGGUUGGGCUCGCGGCCUAUCAGCUUGUUGGUGGGGUGAUGGCCUACCAAGGCGACGAGAGGUAGCAUACCUGCGAGGGCGACCGGCCAAGCUGGGACUGGGACACGGCCCAGCCUACUACGGGAGGGAGCGGUGGGGAAUAUUGCAUAAUGGGCGGAAGCCUGAUGCAGCGAAGCAGCGUGGGGUAUGACGUCCAUCGGGUUGUAAACCUCUGUCAGCAGGGACGAAGCGUAAAUGACGGUACCUGCAGAAGAAGCGCCGGCCAACUACGUG